AUCCCAUGAUGAGGAGAUUGACGUUGGAGAUCCUUGAACCUUUCCCACGCCUCGUAAUAUGAUUCAAAUGAUUGUUGCUUGAAUGUUUGAAUUUCAUUCCGAAGAU